CCUCCUUUCUUCCUCCUUUUUGUCUCUUGCCCCAUGGGGGCACCCCUGCUGCAGCAACGCCGCGUGAGUGAAGAAGGUCUUCGGAUUGUAAAGCUCUGUUCUUGGUGAAGAUAAUGACGGUAGCCAAGGAGAAAGCUCCGGCUAACUACGUGCCAGCAGCCGCGGUAAUACGUAGGGAGAGAGCGUUGUCCGGAUUUACUGGGUGUAAAGGGUGCGCAGGCGGCUCUGCAAGUCAGGCGUGAAAGCUAGGGGCUCAACCCCUAAAUUGCGCUUGAAACUGUGGAGCUUGAGUGAAGUAGAGGCAGGCGGAAUUCCCGGUGUAGCGGUGAAAUGCGUAGAGAUCGGGAGGAACACCAGUGGCGAAGGCGGCCUGCUGGGCUUUAACUGACGCUCAGGCACGAAAGCAUGGGUAGCAAACAGGAUUAGAUACCCGAGUAGUC
rnacentral:rRNA from 1 species